rnacentral:sRNA from 1 species
UGAGCCAUUGCUAACAACAAAUUUUUUAUCCUUGAAAAUCAUAUAUUUUCUAACGUCAUUGAUCGUUCAAAAUAUAGCGAAACACAAUGCCACUAAAUUGAAAAACAAUAGAGAAAUGUUAUUAACAAACUCCUGCAAAAAUAGAAAAACAAGUCACAGAAUUUUAGCUGUAUUUGAAGAGCGAAAUAAGACGUGGUUAGAUGACGAUAUUAUUUUCCUAAAUCCAGACAUUGUCCAACGUAAAGAAAAACCUUUCUUACUUACUGCAUGCUUUAUUGGUUUCGUCGGAUCCUUUAAUAACAUCUAAAUCAAAAAGCAAUUCAAAAUACGGAAAAAACAUCAAAAUAGAUGAUGAGGUCAAGCAGCUUCUGCUAAAUAUAAAUGAACUAUCUGACAGCAAAAAUCCUGAAAUAUAUAUACAUAUAUGGUCAGCUAUAUAUGCUUGAAGAUUUAAACAAGUAAGCGUGUCAAGAAGUCAUAUCGUGAGAUAGCACAGAAGUCAUCACGCAAGAUUUAAACCAAAUCGGAUAAUAAUUGGGCUUUCUAGAGAGUCAAGAAGCCAUAUCUGGAGAUCGGUUUGUAUGGGAGCUAUAUCAGGUUAUUGAUCUAUUUGGACCAUUUGGCACGGAUGUUGGAGGUCAUAACAAAAGUCCUCAUGCAAAAUUUCAGCCAAAUCGGACAAGAAUUGCGCCCUCUAGAAGAAAAAUACUGCAAGAUUGGGCAUAUCGGCCACUGUGCAGCGGUAAGAUCUUUAAUUCCUGGGUGAAGGUGACCCACUCGAGAACUGGGGAUUGCCCGUCUGGCGGGUAUAAAUCGUAUUCCACAGUGUGUUGUUCAACUCUCGAGCUAACACUGGCACUGCAGAGUUCACCACCGGUUGCCCAAUUGCUAUUUUUCUCUUAAUAUGGCUUGUGUAGUUUCACAAAUGUCAUUCCGAACUUGGUUGCCGCGCAAGGAACUGUCAUGUUCUUCAAACUCUUCAGGAGCCAAGUUUUCUUCUAUGCAAUCUGUCGACUCAAAAAUGUCAUCGUCAUUGGCAAUAUUAUGUAACA